UCAGUGUGCGAAGGACUGCUGUGCUC
rnacentral:piRNA from 1 species